rnacentral:rRNA from 1 species
AUUGAACGCUGGCGGCAUGCCUUACACAUGCAAGUCGAACGGCAGCACGGGGCAACCUGGUGGCGAGUGGCGAACGGGUGAGUAAUGCAUCGGAACGUACCUUUCAGUGGGGGAUAACGUAGCGAAAGUUACGCUAAUACCGCAUAUUCUGUGAGCAGGAAAGCAGGGGAUCGCAAGACCUUGCGCUGAUUGAGCGGCCGAUGUCAGAUUAGCUAGUUGGUGAGGUAAAGGCUCACCAAGGCGACGAUCUGUAGCGGGUCUGAGAGGAUGAUCCGCCACGCUGGAACUGAGACACGGUCCAGACUCCUACGGGAGUCAGCAGUGGGGAAUUUUGGACAAUGGGGGCAACCCUGAUCCAGCCAUGCCGCGUGAGUGAAGAAGGCCUUCGGGUUGUAAAGCUCUUUCGGCCGGGAAGAAAUCGCACGGGCUAAUACCCUGUGUGGAUGACGGUACCGGAAUAAGAAGCACCGGCUAACUACGUGCCAGCCGCCGCGGUAAUAC